rnacentral:rRNA from 1 species
AACGUAGGAGGCAAGCGUUAUCCGAAUUUACUGGGCGUAAAGCGCGUGCAGGCGGUUCGGUAAGUUGGAUGUGAAAUCUCCUGGCUCAACUGGGAGAGGUCGUUCAAUACUGUCGGACUUGAGGAUGGCAGAGGGAGGUGGAAUUCCCGGUGUAGUGGUGAAAUGCGUAGAUAUCGGGAGGAACACCAGUGGCGAAGGCGGCCUCCUGGACCAUUCCUGACGCUCAGACGCGAAAGCUAGGGGAGCGAACGGG